CCGCCAGCUUUCUGGUAUAAAGGGUGACGCUGCUAAAAUGAUAAAGGAAAUAAAAAGGACAUUAGGGUACACUCUUCUUAGGAGAAUAUUUGGAUAAGAAAACCAGGGACAUCAUAGAUGAUUUUAAUAGUGCACGCUUGGGACUUCCCUGGUGGUCCAGUGGUAAAGAAUCCGCGUUCCAAUGCAGGGGAUGUGGGUUCGAUCCCUGGUCAGGGGACUAAGAUCCCACAUGCCAUGGGGCCACCAAGCCCAUGUGCCACAACUACUGAGCUCGUGCGCUUCAAUUAGAGAGCCUACGUACCGCAAACUACAGAGCCCACAUGCCCUGGAGCCUGAGUGCCACAACUAGAGACAAAACCCGCAUGUCAGAACUAGAGAGAAGCCCGUGUGCUGCAACGAAGAUCCCGCAUGCCGCAACUAAGACCCAAUGCAGCCAAAAAUAAUAAAAUAAAUAAGUAAUAAAUAAAUCUUAAAAAAAAUAGUGCAUUCUGCUUUAAUAAAUGUUAUGCCUAUUCAUCUUCAAUACCCAAGAGUUUUCUAUGUUCAGCUAGAAAGUUUUCUAAAACAGCCCCAACUAAUCUCACAGCAAAACUUCUUUAUUCUUGCAUAUCCACUUAAAACUUUUAUACCCAUUCUUUCUAAGUUAAAAAAGCUCUCAAUACCCCUUUACUUAUGGUAUCUAAAAUAUUACAUUUAUUUGAAAAAAAAGCAAUCCUCCUAAAAAUAAGGUCUAUACAUCAAACCUAUAUACAUAUAAUCCUCUGAUCCAUACUUUCUCCUAAUUCUCUGAAUGUUUUUCAAUUUCAUCACAGUAUCGGACUUGGAUUUUUACUAAGGGAAAUGGCUUGUCCUAUUUAUUAAACAUCUAGUUUAAUUUUCCCUUCUGUAUAUGCAUAUAUAAUAUAAGCAAUUCUUCUACACUGUUAAACACAAUCUCUUUUGAGUCCCCUAAGGUUAUGUAGUCUUUUCUGAAUGCCACCAUUAAUUUAUAAUUCUCAAGUUUCUUGUGAACUUUUUAUUCUACUUUUUAUUUCUAAGGCUGAGAAGGAUUCAUAAAAAUGCCAGAAUGACCAUGGAAUUCUCUAAACGAAUUUGGAAAUAAGUGGGGGAAAAAAGGUGGCGCCAUAAGAUAUCUAUACAACAAAAAAUUGAUCUACAAAACUGGCUGCAAUCUACAAAUUGAUAGAUAGAUCAGCUGCCCAGAAGGAAAUACAAAGAAUCAAGAGAAGGUGGCGGCGUAAGAUAUCUAUACAACAAUACUGAUCUACAAAACUGGCUGCAAUCUACAAAUUGAUAGAUCAGCUGCCCAGAGGAAAUACAAAGAAUCAAGAGUAUGGCAGGUGAUCGAAGAGAAGAAAGUAGUUACUACCAUGUUUCAUGUUUGAAUUUAAGGCAAUGCUAAUUGGGGUUUAAACUGGUUAUUCCUAGCAUCCUUGGGAAAAGGAGUCAGUGAAAGUAGUCUCUUCUAAAUAGUUUUAAAUUGGCACGUGUAGACAGAACGUAUUUUAGAAAGAGUUCAUCUAUAGACUAUAUGGAAUAUAACAAACCUUUAAUAAAAGUCAGGCUCAUCAAUAUCAGUUAUAGUAUCUACAGAUGCUUAUUUAGGUUUAUACUCUGAGAUAUUCUCAUAUCUGCAUAUAUGAGCAAUGCUGACUUACUGAAACAACAAACAUUUGUUUGGCUACUAGAAAAUUCUGGACAUUGCUGGAGACUGGAGAUUCAAGAGAGUAAUGGUCCCUGUCUUCCUGAAACCUAAUGUCUGCCUUCACAGCAUCUCCAAGAGUAGACUGUCUCAAGAAACCACUUUUUUGGCUCAACCAUAAGAAGCAACUCACCUGUUGAAGUUUUAUUAUGAGAUUGCAGCAAUUCAGUCACUCUUCAGACUGCGCUUCUAAUUCUAGUUCUCUUGCUAUUUCCACCACGUCUAUUUCCUUCACUGAAGUCUUGAACCCCUCAAAGUCAUACAUGAGGGCUGGGAAAUUAACUUCUUCCAAACUCCUGUUAGUGUUGAUAUUUUGACCUCUUCCAAUGAAUCACGAAUGUUCUUAUGGCAUCUAGAAUGGUGAAUCCUUUCCAGAAGAUUUUCAAUUUACUUUGCCCAGAUCCAUCAGAGGAAUCACUAUCUAUGGCGGCUACAGCCUUACAAAAUGUAUUUCUUAAGUAAUAAGACUUGAAAGUCAAAAUGACUCCUUGAUCCACGGGCUGCAGAAUGAUGCUGUGUUUGCAGGCAUGAAAACAACAUUAACCCUGUACAUCUCCAUCAGAGCUCUUGGUGACCAAAUGUUGUCAAUGAGCAGUAAUAUUUUGAAAGGAAUCUUUUUUUCUAAGCAGUAGGUCCCAACAGUGGGCAUAAAAUAAUAUAACUUUAUUGUGUGCAGCAGCCCUUUUCACACCAAGUAUUAGUUUUUCCAUGUGAAAUAAGUUAAGAUUUAAAAUGAUAAAGUUAUUGUUAAGGAGAUGCAUUGGGCAAUAGAAAAAGCUGAAGAGAGUUUUUGUCUGAAACUGGAAAACAGAACAGUCUGGAAAAAAAGGACCACACGUUGCUAAGACCAAAAAAGGAGCUUGGAGACCAUGCUGUAAUUAUGUUGUAAACAGAUGUGCUGUCAUCCAGGCUUUGUUGUUCCAUUUACAUUAUACAGUCAGAGUACAUUUAGUAGAUUUUAAGGGCCCUAAGAUUCCUGGAAUGGUAAAUGAGUACUGGCUUCAACCUAAAGUCACCAGCUGCAUUAGCCCCUAACAAGAGAGUCAGCCUGUCCCUUGAAGCCAGGCACUGACUUCUCUCUAGCUAUGACAAAAGUCCUAGAUGGCAUCUUCUUCCAAUAGAAAGCUGUUUCGUCUACACUAAAAAUCUGUCGUUUACUGUAGCCAACUUCAUUAAUUAUUUUAGCUAGAUCUUCUGGAUAACUUGCUGUAGCUUCUACAUCAGCACUUGUUGCUUCACUUUACACUUUUAUGUUAUGGAGAUGGCUUCCUUCCUUAAAUCUUAUGAACCAAUCUCUGCUGGCUUCAAACUUUUCUGCAGCUACCUUAUCUCUUUAGGCUUUCAUAGAACUGAAGAGAGUUAGGGCCUUCUCUGGAUUAGACUUUGCCUUAAGGGAACGUUGUGACCGGUUUAAUCUUCUAUCCAGGCCAUUAAAACUUUCUACAUAUGAGCAAGAAGGCUGUUUUGUUUUCUAAUCAUUUAUGUGUUCACCGGAGUAGCACUUUUAAUUUCCUUUAAAAACUUUUCCUUUGCAUUCAUAACUUGGCUAAGCAGCGCCUACCUUUUGGCCUAUCUCAGUUUUCAACAUGCCGUCCUCACUAAACUUAAUCGUUUCUAGAUUCUGAUUAAAGUGAGAGACACAACUUCUCCUUUCACUUGAACACUUAGAGACCAUUGCAGUGUUAUUAAAUGGCCUAAUUUCAAUAUUCGUUGUAUCUCAAGGAAUAGGGAGGCCUGAGGAAAGGGAGAGAAACUGGGGAACAGCUGGCAGAUUAAGUUUCGCCAUCUUACAUGGGCAUGGUUUGUGGCACCCAAGAACAAUUACAAUAGUAAUAUCAAAGAUCACUGAUCACAGAUCACUAUAACAAAUAUAAUAGUAAUGAAAAAGUCUGAAGUAUUGCAAGAAUUACCAAAGCGUGACACAGAGACAUAAAGUGAGCAGAUGUUGUUGGAAAAAUGGCACUGACAGGCUUACUCGACACAGGGUUGCCACAAACCUUCAAUUUGUAAAAAAUGCAGUAUCUUCAAAUAAAGUGAAGUGUGAUAAAACAAGGUAUGCCUGUGGUUGGUCCUAGUGAAAGGAUAUGAGAAGGAUCUGAGAAGACAAUGUGAGCAUAGCUCCUGCUUGCCAUCACAUACAUGAAUUAUAAAGGGCUACCCCAGAACUUCCAUACUGAUUUCUUGCCAGCUUAAAAGGUCAAAUUCCAGAUGUGAGGACAAGGUAACAGCUACAGCCCUCUGAAACAAACCAGUAGGCCUUUUUAGGUAAACACUAAGGUGAAACAUUUAGAAUGCUGGUCUGGUGAGAUGACCAUCUGUACUAAGAAAGAAUUCACAGGAAAGCAGACCUUGAGUAGAGAACUUUCACCUACAUGAGAAUAAGAAUCACCUAUGGAGUUUAUAAAUAUAGAUGCCCAGAUCCAGUGAGUCAGAGUGUAUGUAUGUGCAUUAUUUUAAAAAAUAUUUUGUUUUUCUAAUUGUAAUAUACUACAUGUAUUCACAUUCAAUUAGGGAAUCAAAGUUCCCUGGCUCAAAACCUGUCAAAGCUGUUCUUCUAUAUGUAAACUGACCCAGAUGUACAUAUGUGAAAAUAGAUAUUAUAGUUCUAUAAUUUGCCUUUUAAUAUAAUGUAAUGCAUCUCUGACAUUGUUCCAUAAAGGUCUCCAUUAUUAAGCUGCAUAGUAUGCCAUCUUGUAUGGACACACCAUACUCUAACCAUCCACCUAAUGAUGAAAAUUUGGGUUGUUUCCAAUUUUUUAUUAUUGCAAACACUGUUGCUUUGACCAUGGCACCUGCAUCUUUAAAAGCUCCUUAGGCAAUCUGAUGUACUCCUUGGAUAUAAGCCAUUGCUGUAAGAGGAUUGGCAGAAACUACAUUCCUCAGGUGAAAUUACACACAUUACUGCAGACAUAAAUCAACUCUCAUAGUUAGCUAAAAGGCAGGUGAACGUUUUACUUUCUCCAUAAAAAUUUGGAAUAAGGCUGAACAGUAAGUAAUAACUGAUGUUCCUGAAAACGAAACCUCUACAUCACAUUCAACAUCAUUCACUCUAGACCUUUUUUGUACUAGCAAUGAAACUGGAAGAGCACUGCCUGAAGGGUCCUCACAGUUCCUUUCACCAGAAGAAAGCUAGUAUGAGCACCAGAAGCAUGAUAUCUUUGCUGUCCUUGACCUCUCAAAACUUUAUGCUUAUAGGUAGUUAUAUAUAUUUACUGCAUAACUCAGUUUUCUCAUCUGUAAAAUAGGUGUAACAACUCUCAUGGAAUUCCUUUGAGGUGAGCUUUUAUGACCUUCUGGCAUUCAUUAUCUAUUUACAUAUUUGCAUAUAUGUCCUACUUCAUUAUUUACUGCUUUAAGCGUAAGGAUAACUCUCUGAAAUCCAGUGCAUUAGGAACUCAGUGAGAAAAUACCAUUUUUGUUCUAUGUAUAUGGCUGAAAUUCAUGGCUAGGUUUUUCUUUCUUUCUUUUUAAAAUUUAUUUUGGCUGUGUUGGGUCUCCGUUGCUGCGCACAGACUUUCUCUAGUUGUGGUGAGCAGGGGCUACUCUUCCCUGCGGUGCGUGGGCUUCUCAUUGCGGUGGCUUCUCUUGUUGUGGGGCACGGGCUCUAGGCGCACAGGCUUCAGUAGUUGCGGCAUGUGGGCCCUAGAGCGCGCGGCUCUAGAGUGCAGGCUCAGUAGUUGUGGAGCACAGGCUUAGUUGUUCUGUGGCAUGUGGGAUCUUCCCGGACCAGGGAUCGAACCCGUGUCUCCUGCAUUGGCAAGCGGAUUCUUAACCACUGUGCCACCAGGGAAGUCCCCUGGCUAGGUUUUUCAAAACAGCAGAGCAGCUCCAGAACACACUCAAGAAGGACCCAGGUGUGACUGGUAUGAAUGACCAAUAAUUAUAAAACAGAAACCAAGAUCUCAUUUCUGGAAGACUGAGAUAGAAGAGCUGCCAGAAACGGAGAAAUCACAUUUCAUAUACCUAAAGUGUAGGAAUUUCUUAUAUUCUUCCUUUUAUCUCACCCAGGCAGCAAAACAAAGUAAGAAAGCCCUUGCAGUAAAUGGCAAAAGGAAUCUAUGCUCCUAUGAAGACAGAUAAGAUAGGUGAGAAAAAGGAAGUAAAUUCUGGAUACAAACAAUGGAAAGUUUCAACAGAAUUAUUUGCAAAAGGAAUGUUAAGAUGUCUGAAGAACUACAU